UGGGGAAUCUUGCACAAUGGGCGAAAGCCUGAUGCAGCAACGCCGCGUGUGUGAUGAAGGUCUUCGGAUUGUAAAGCACUUUCGACCGGGACGAACACCCCUUGGCUAACAUCCAAGGGUCUGACUGUACCGGGAGAAGAAGCACCGGCUAACUCUGUGCCAGCAGCCGCGGUAAUACAGAGGGUGCAAGCGUUGUUCGGAAUUAUUGGGCGUAAAGCGCGUGUAGGCGGCUUUGCAAGUCAGGUGUGAAAGCCCUCGGCUCAACCGAGGAAGUGCGCCUGAAACUGCAGAGCUUGAGUACCGGAGAGGAUGGCGGAAUUCCCCAAGUAGAGGUGAAAUUCGUUGAUAUGGGGAGGAACACCGGUGGCGAAGGCGGCCAUCUGGACGGAUACUGACGCUGAGACGCGAAAGCGUGGGUAGCAAACAGGAUUAGAUACCCUGGUAGUCCACGCCGUAAACGAUGAGAACUAGGUGUCGUGGGUGUUGACCCCCGCGGUGCCGUAGCCAACGCA
rnacentral:rRNA from 1 species